GGGGUUGGGGAUUUAGCUCAGUGGUAGAGCGCUUGCCUACCAAGCGCAAGGCCCUGGGUUCGGUCCCCAGCUCUGAAAAAAAGAACCAAAAAAAAAAAAAAUAAAAAAAAAAGAAGAAGGCAU
rnacentral:scRNA from 1 species